ensembl:lncRNA
UGGAGAUCAGGAGCAGACCAGUGCAGUGUCCAUUACCCUCAGAAAGCGCAGCCGACAGCUUGCUCUGGAACCAUAUUGCGCGUUGACUCGAGGGAAGCGGAGUUACCUGAAUAUGACCAGCAGCGAUAGUGAAUGCUGUAAGAAGCCCUGAGGCCCCGCCCCCUGCUUCUGCUCCCAGCGCCGCGUUUAAAGUUUAUUAUUGUUGAACGCGUCCUAAUUGCACCAGCUUUGAGCUCCUCGGGGGGCAUCUGCACACCAGCCAACUGGGAAGUGCACCGGCUGAACGAUUAAAGAGGUAUUUCAUCCUAAAUCAAAGUAUUGGACUGAAGUAAAUUGCCUGAACUGAUUUGAGCUGAUUCAUCACGAAUGUGAAUAUUGUCACAGGGAUUCAUCCUUUGGGAAACAGACGGGCAGAAUUGCGUUGAGGGCCCUUCAGUGAUCUCGGGGAGCCAAAACUGACGCAUCAUUUCGUUACAAAGUCCGUCAUCAUUUUUCUUAUUCUUGUAUACUGCCAACCUCUGUGACAGACACAAAAGCCCAGAAUAUAAUUCUGAUCCCGAUCAGAUCAGUUUUAGAAGGUGGGUGCAUACCUCUCUUUUCUUAUUUGAUCAGGCUUAGACAAGAUCAGUUUCUAGGACAGCUGUCUUUUCCUGCAGGAAACCCGAGUGCGAAGACCAUAAUCCUGACCUUAAUGAACCCUAAGCUGACCUGACCCCCCUGAUGAACUCCUGAACUAAAUGCCUUAAGCGUAACUGCUGGGAGAUACCUGAGACAACUCCAAACCCAUCACGCACACGAUCGAUGUCCUCCUGCAGAGAUGAUUGAAGAACAAGCACCCGCCUGCGUUGGCACUGGACCAGAAUUUGGAGGUGCAGAUGUGGACACGGUGGAGAUAUCUGAUGUCCAACAUUAAACCUGUGAGAUCUUCAAACAGGUGUUACUCCGUUUUAACCCCUGAGUUUCCAGAAGAACUACCAUCUCAAUCUUCUAUUUUGAGACACCAAUCGGUAUUUAAGUGCUUCAAACUAAGUGCUGUUGGGUGCAAAGGAUGCCGUCACUUUCAGUCUGGGCACUUUUUCUGAAUCUGACUCACACUUUCAGUGACUUUUCUGGAAUAAAAUAUUUCUCACUCAGCAUGUGAAAUUAACCUUUUUACAAUAUUUUUAUUUGGAAAUAUUGGCAGACACAGAAUAAAGUGAACAUUGUAUUUCUAUCUUUUCCUACAACAAACCACUGGUUCAUCCACCUAAAGAGCAGAAAGAGGAAAAGGUCACCUCAUUUUGCCGUGCCAUAGGUGAUUGUGUGUGUAUAUAUAAAUGUGUGUGUGUACAUAAACACACACUACAUCUGUAUGUACACACAUGCUUCCGUCUACAAUGUAAACACACAAUCAUUGCAUUCUACAAGCACAUUAUGCCCAAACAUCAAAUGACUGUAGGAUAAGCGAGUGGAAUCUGAAAUGAUUCCAGUGUACGUCACCCUCCGUUUACUGUUCAAACUCAUCUUCUGUAAAUAAUGAGCGUGGGCUAACUGGUUGUAUCAUGAAAUUGUCUGCGAGUAAUGUGAGCUCCUUGCUCAAGGGUGUAGUUGAUGAGGGAGGGAAGAAUCUGCUCCAUGAGUGCAAUUCUCUUUACCUUCACUGCAGCUGUUUUCAGUAAACGUUGCUCCCUUAAUAUGCUCUUUAUACCUGUUGGAUCAGAACUCAUCCUGCCUAUGAAUACAAAUGAACUCCACUCGCUGAGCUCGAUGCAAGUGAGAAUAACUUGCAAGCUAAAUCAAAACAAAGAAAGCCCCGUUUUCCCAGAAACUCAUUACAGAGCCGGCGAAGGCGGGUCUUCAUGUUGUCUCGCCUGAAUUGUAGUUAUCAGUAGGCCACCGCGAUGAAGCUCAAUUAGAGCAGCGUGCUGUAAGGUGAUCACCGGAGGAGAGGAACGGCAGUUCACCCCGAUCAGACAAGGCCAGGGGUUCACAACGGGACCUGGAGCCGUGGAGGGCGGCUAAUGAGCCUCCACGAUUCAC